GGCAAUUUAUUGGCAUGUGAGAAAUUCGGAGUAACUCUUCACCGCGCCCGCCUGCUCUUUUCCCUGCUCGCACUUCGGGGCGCAGACGGGAGGGAGCUCGUGGGAAGGCCACCGCUGUCGCUCGCUUGCAUGCGAGAGGACGGGUCUGCCCGUGAGGGCUCGGCGUCACUCGACGCCAGCAAUAUGGCAUCAGAAAUACCAGGGUCCCCCGGAAGAGGGAUACCCUAUGGGAAGCCGUUGCGGAGAUUGUGUUUUGACACUUGAGUGCGAUGCGUGGCGUGGCGGAAGCCAUGAUUCGAUUCCGAUUAUUCUGUU
rnacentral:RNase_P_RNA from 2 species